rnacentral:rRNA from 1 species
UGCGUAGGCGGACUAAUAAGUCAGUGGUGAAACCUCUCGGCUCAACCGGGAAACUGCCAUUGAUACUGUUAGUCUUGAGUUCGGUUGAGGUAGGCGGAAUGUGUAAUGUAGCGGUGAAAUGCUUAGAUAUUACACAGAACACCAAUUGCGUAGGCAGCUUACUAGACCGACACUGACGCUGAGGCACGAAAGCGUGGGUAGCGAACAGGAUUAGAUACCCUGGUAGUCC